rnacentral:RNase_P_RNA from 3 species
CGAGCAGGCCGGGCAGCCGCGGGCGCAGCGCGAAAGCGCGCGCGCGAGGAAAGUCCGAGCUCCACAGGGCGGAAUAACGGCUAACGGCCGCCGGGGGCGACCCCAGGGAAAGUGCAACAGAGAAAUACCGCCGCGUUUUUUCGCGGUAAGGGUGGAAAGGCGGGGUAAGAGCCCACCAGCGCGCGGGAGACCGCGCGGCUCUGCAAACCCUAUUCGGAGCAACACCGCAGAGGGACAUCAUGCGCCUGCCCGGCGCGUCCCGAGAAGGUGGCACUGAGCCGCGGUGGCAACACCCGGCCAAGAUAGAUGGCUGCUUAAGACAGAACUCGGCUUACAGACCUGGUCGCAUG